GCUGAGAGUGCAGAGGGCACAGUGUUUCUGCAUUGUUCCUGUAUGCGGACCUUGUUGACCCAAAAGGACAUGCAGAAUAAAUAGCUUUUCUACAGAAGAUGAUGGGAUACAUUAGUCAAGCUUUAGGGGGAGGCAGACAACGGACUGUUACAUCAAUGCAAUUGUUUAAUUUCUACUUUUAUUCAAACUCAGAAUUAAACUGAGAUUCCAACUAAGAAAAAAGUUGACAAUAUGACAAAUUCAUCAAAAUAACACCUUACAUUACAUUUGACAGUUUAGUCACUUAGCAGACAUUCUCAUCCAGAGCGACUUACAGUUGGAGCAUUCAUCUUAAAAUAGCAAGGUGAGACAACCACACAUCACAGUCAUAGGAAAUUCUCAGCAACAAAAGAGUAAUCAAAUUAAGAUCCUACAUCUGUACUACACGAUUAUGCUGAGCAAUGCACAGGGGACACUGUUGCUCAUCAUUGCAGAUCAGAUUAAAUGAAAUUUGCUUCGCCAGGGAUGGAUGCAAGCACUGACCUGUGGAGAACUCAGCCAAUGAAUCUGUCUGUGCAUCCCCCGGGUUCUGUCACUGAGAACAAGCCUCAUCUACAUGGGGGUUGAGAGGCCAGAGAAACUGAUCCUUAAUACUUACCUGACAAGUACUGUAAGCUGAUUCCUUGUCAUGUUCUGACCUUUAUUUCCUUUGUUUUUUAUCGUUAUUUAGUAUGGUCAGGGUGUGAGUUGGGGUGGGCAGUCUAUGUUUGUUUUUCUAUGAUUUUGUGAUUUCUAUGUUUCGGCCUAGUAUGGUUCUCAAUCAGAGGCAGGUGUCAUUAGUUGUCUCUGAUUGAGAAUCAUACUUAGGUAGCCUGGGUUUCACUGUUUGUUUGUGGGUGAUUGUCUAUGUUAGUUGCUUGUGUCAGCAGAGUUCUCAUUAUAGCUUCACAUUCGUUUAUUGUUUUGUAUAGUUUGUAUUCAGUGUUUAGUGCUUUCUUUAAUUAAAAACAUCAUCAUGAACACAUACCACGCUGCAUUUUGGUCCGUGACAUUCCUAGUAGAAAACAAAGAUAUUUGUGCUAAUGAUAUAUGUGAUGGGCAAAGAUAACCCUGGGAAAUUCCAAUAAAUACUGAGUUUAAACAACAGAAUACAUUCCAUGUGUAUCUACUGUAGUCUGGUAUAUUUAGCUCACAUGCAGUACAGAAUUGACAUAGGAUGAACGUAGGUACACAAUACCAGUGAGAACAUGGAUAUUUUAAUGAUCUAAUUAGAUGAAGCUGAUAGAGCAGUAGGGUUGAGUGGGCCGUCAGUGUGCGCAGGGCUGAGUGGGCCGUCAGUGUGUGUGCAGGGCUGAGUGGGCCGUCAGUGUGCUCAGGGCUGAGUGGGCUGCCAGUGUGUUGUGAGAGAUACUCUGUGUCAAGACACUGGCCGCUAGCAUAGCCAGCUGGGCUCCACGCCCACUCGUCUGUUAUAUAAUCUCCAACACUCCACGCUGAUACGUUCUGCACGGAGCAGGCAUACUGAUCAUGCUCAGUCUGUCCAAGGCAGGGGAGAGGCCAAGCUCCUACUCACCUACUCAAAUCAAAUAUAACAGGUGUAGACCUUCCCAUGAAAUGCUUACUUACAAGCCCUUAACCAACACAGUUUUUUUGCUAAAAUAAAUAAAACAACAGCCCAGACCAGCUCCUAUCAAGGCAGAGGGAGAGUAGGGAGGGGAUUUGGGGGCAUGUCUGGGCGCUGAAGGAGCUCAGUGUGAAAGCAUCUGCCCAAAUGGAGAACAUAGUUUUCCCGACUACACAGCUGCCAGAACAAAAUAUUUAGAACCAAUCUGAGUCAAAUGAACAAAUACAGCCUUCACCUUUUUACUGAUGGAGACAGUUUUCUGCUGCUUUACUUGCUGAAGGAAGUAUUUGAAUGUAGUAUCUUGUGUUUUGUCUAAAUGUAACUCAGUCUUGUCGACAGCAAGCAUGAAUGAAAUAAAUCAAAUCAGGAAGCACACCUUAGCUGGGUUGCUUUAAAAAAGAAAUAUGCCACACAAAAAAUAUUGAUCACUGAGGAACGCAUAACAGUAGAUGAGAUCUCUGAGCAAUUCAUGAGUUAACAUUAUUAUACAGAAUUUAUUUUGUAUCACCAACCAACAUAGUUAGCUAAAUUGAUGAACAUAAGCUGAUAGUCAAUACAAUUACCAGUCAAUUUCGAGCAUAAAGGCUUGAAAUGCAUUAACAGGAAAAAGUAAUUUUAUGGUUAUUGUUCUCCAUUGUGCAUUGCUCAACGACAGGCUCUUUUUAUGGAUAAAGAUAUCAUCCAGAUGAAUAACUUGUAGAAUGGACUUUCUGAAAAACUAUCCACUCUUGUAAGGGAGGGAAACGCCCUGCAAUUUUCCUGGCUUUAUUUUAUGCUAACUUGUUCCUCUAUUCACCAUUUAAAGGAAAAGUCCACUCAAAAACUUUAUUUUGGUAUUUGUUUCAUUAGUCCAUUGUUGACAUAGUCCCAAAAUGUUUUGCUUGUCAGCAAUCAAGAUAUGCAACUUUCAAAAUACAGAAAUCAUCCCAGUAUUAUGCAUUUUGACAUUUACAUUUGGGACGAUGUCAACAAUGGACUAAUGUAACAAAUACCAAAAUAUAGUUUUUGGGUGGAAUUUUCCUUUACGAGAUGUUCCCAUUGCCAGGAAUGUUAGUAAUGACUUGAUAGAGCAUGCUGGUUCUCAUAAGACUGUGCAGUACAAGACAGAGUAUUGUAAGGCUAAGCCAGGGCUGUUGUGUCACUGACUCUAUAACCAGCAACACUAAGAGUAGACAGUCUGCCUGUAUACAUUACAGUACACAGGAACACUAAACAUGACUUACAAGUAGAAUGACCUGUUUACUUGCUGGUUGACCAAUGUACUCCAAAGACCUGAUUUGUUUCUUUGCUCCCUGUGAACUUCAAAGUUCCAUUAAGACGUGCCUGUACGUUUCAAGCAAACACUUUCAGUAUGCAGGUGUGUACUCUUGGAGCAGCACUGUUGCCAUAGCAAGGCGGGGACCUACCUGAGCAAGCAGCUGAUAAAACCAGAAACAGGCCAGAGGUGUGGUGGCCAUGCCAAUCAGUUAAAGAUAGACAUGACUGCUUUGCAACUCAGUAACAGCCUCUAGGUGUAAAAUCUGACCUUCAAAACCAUUCCAGGUCAGGUCAUCCAUUUGAUUUGGCCAUGCAUUCGUCUAUUCUACCUCGUAAAGAUAGUUAUCUGAGAGACCUGUCUGUGUGGCCGUGUGGUUAAAGUCCAGGAAGAAGAUAAUGGACCCCAACAGAUAUAUACAGUGCCUUCAGAAAGUAUUCACACCCCUUGGCUUUUUCCACAUUUUGUUGUGUUACAGCCUGAAUUUAAAAUGUCUUACAUUGAGAUUUUUGUUGUCACUCUUCUACACACAAUAAACCAUCAUGUCAAAGUGGAAUUAUGUUUUUAGACAUUUUGUUUUAUUAAUUAAAAAUGAAAAGCUUUCAAAUCAAAUCAUGUCUUCAUUGAAUAAGUAUUCAAUCCCUUUGUUAUGGCAAGCCUAAAUAAGUUUAGGAGUAAACAUUUGCUUAACAAGUCACAUAAUAACUUUCAUGGACUCUGUGUGCAAUAAUAGUGUGUAGCCCUUUCCUUCAGUCAAAUGAACUAGGGGCCUCAUGGCUGGAACAUUGUUCAUAUUUAUCAUAAUUUCAUUAUUAAUAAACAUGAUCAUGUGUUUC